GACGAACGCUGGCGGCGUGCCUAAUACAUGCAAGUCGAACGCAGUGGGGACGGGUGAGGAACACGUGGGUAACCUCCGAUAAGAGGGGAGAACACUUGGAAACAGGUGCUAAACCGAUACUGAUGGAUGGACCCGCGUUUGAUUAGCUAGUGGGUGAGGUAACGGCUCACCAAGGCCACGAUGCAUAGCCGGCCUGAGAGGGGGACCGGCCACACGGGGACUGAGACACGGCCCAGACUCCUACGGGAGGCAGCAGUGGGGAAGCUUCGGCAAUGGACGAAAGUCUGACGCAGCAACGCCGCGUGAGUGAAGAAGGUGUUCGGAUCGUAAAUCUCUGUUGUUAGGGAGGCGGUAUCUAACCAGAAAGCCACGGCUAACUACGUGCCAGCCGCCGCGGUAAUUC
rnacentral:rRNA from 1 species